rnacentral:tRNA from 1 species
GGAGGGGUGGCAGAGCCUGGUUGAAUGCACUGGUCUUGAAAACCAGCGUACGUUCACGCGUACCGUGGGUUCGAAUCCCACCCCCUCCG